rnacentral:rRNA from 1 species
AGAGUUUGAUCAUGGCUCAGGAUGAACGCUGGCGGCGUGCUUAACACAUGCAAGUCGAACGAACCUUCGGGUUAGUGGCGGACGGGUGAGUAACGCGUGAGAAUCUGCCCUCAGGAGGGGGAUAACAGUUGGAAACGACUGCUAAUACCCCAUAUGCCGAGAGGUAAAAUGAAUUUUGCCUGGGGAUGAGCUCGCGUCUGAUUAGCUUGUUGGUGGGGUAAAGGCCUACCAAGGCUUCGAUCAGUAGCUGGUCUGAGAGGACGAUCAGCCACACUGGGACUGAGACACGGCCCAGACUCCUACGGGAGGCAGCAGUGGGGAAUUUUCCGCAAUGGGCGCAAGCCUGACGGAGCAACGCCGCGUGAGGGAUGGAGGCCUUUGGGCUGUAAACCUCUUUUCUCAAGGAAGAAGAUCUGACGGUACUUGAGGAAUAAGCCACGGCUAAUUCCGUGCCAGCAGCCGCGGUAAUACGGGAGUGGCAAGCGUUAUCCGGAAUUAUUGGGCGUAAAGCGUCCGCAGGCGGCCGUUUAAGUCUGUUGUUAAAUCGUGGAGCUCAACUCCAUCACGGCAAUGGAAACUGUUCGGCUUGAGUAUGGUAGGGGCAGAGGGAAUUUCCGGUGUAGCGGUGAAAUGCGUAGAUAUCGGGAAGAACACCAGUGGCAAAAGCGCUCUGCU